UGGGUAAGACUUUUUGCACUUCAACUAUAGUAAAUAAUUAGUUUGAUCAAGGUAGAAGAGUAUGUAAAUUGAUUGAAUACUACAUGUCGGAGAAACUGCAACUGGCUCUCGUGGAUUCGGCUAUGUCACCGUUGCUACAGUUGAGGAUGCUAAGGAAUUUUUCAAUAGGAAAGCACCAUUUCUCAAGGCAAUAUGGUAAUGCCAUUAUCUAUGAGCAACAAUAUCUAUAGAUGCAUACCAAUUUUUUAAAUGUUUUUCCCACAAAAUGAUUAGUUGAGCAUCUUUCAAAGAA